AUGUGGGCUGCUAAGCCAGCUAAGGUAGGGUUUCAGUGGAAGGUAGGUAAUGGGAGGUAGGUUAAAUUCUGGGAGGAUCACUAGUUUGGUCAUUGUAGCUUGGCCUCCCAGUUCUGGGAUUUAUAUAUCAUUGCUAAUGGGCAUAAUGUUACCAUUGCUGAGGUUUGGGAUUGGUGUGACCUGAAAAUUACUUCCAGGAGAUGUGUAGAUAAUAGACUUCAUUUAUUUUUUGAUUGUGUGGUAGUUGCUGGUGUUUGGCACAUUGUUAGCCUUCUCACUGGUGGUACUAACCCGGUCACUUAUGACAACGUGGCUAGUCAGUGGGGGUGCAACAAGAGGAACCAAACAAUUAACUUGGUUAAUGCUGCUACUCUCUGGGCUAUCUGGAGGAACAGAAAUGACCUACUGUGUGCUUUAACAACAACACCUAGCUUGGUUCACAGGUGCUGA
rnacentral:rRNA from 1 species